rnacentral:rRNA from 1 species
AGUGAACGCUGGCGGUAGGCCUAACACAUGCAAGUCGAACGGCAGCACAGUAAGAGCUUGCUCUUACGGGUGGCGAGUGGCGGACGGGUGAGGCAUACAUCGGAUUCUACUUUUUCGUGGGGGAUAUCGUAGGGAAACUUACGCUAAUACCGCAUACGACCUACGGGUGAAAGCAGGAGAUCUUCGGACCUUGCGCGAUUGAAUGAGCCGAUGUCGGAUUAGCUAGUUGGCGGGGUAAAGGCCCACCAAGGCGACGAUCCGUAGCUGGUCUGAGAGGAUGAUCAGCCACACUGGAACUGAGACACGGUCCAGACUCCUACGGGAGGCAGCAGUGGGGAAUAUUGGACAAUGGGCGCAAGCCUGAUCCAGCCAUACCGCGUGGGUGAAGAAGGCCUUCGGGUUGUAAAGCCCUUUUGUUAGGAAAGAAAAGCAGCAGGUUAAUACCCCGCUGUUCUGACGGUACCCAAAGAAUAAGCACCGGCUAACUUCGUG